AUUGAACGCUGGCGGCAUGCUUUACACAUGCAAGUCGAACGGUAACAGGCCGCAAGGUGCUGACGAGUGGCGAGCGGGUGAGUAAUGCAUCGGAACGUGCCCAGUCGUGGGGGAUAACUACUCGAAAGAGUAGCUAAUACCGCAUACGAUCUAUGGAUGAAAGCGGGGGACCGUAAGGCCUCGCGCGAUUGGAGCGGCCGAUGUCAGAUUAGGUAGUUGGUGGGGUAAAGGCUCACCAAGCCAACGAUCUGUAGCUGGUCUGAGAGGACGACCAGCCACACUGGGACUGAGACACGGCCCAGACUCCUACGGGAGGCAGCAGUGGGGAAUUUUGGACAAUGGGCGCAAGCCUGAUCCAGCAAUGCCACGUGCAGGAAGAAGGCCUUCGGGUUGUAAACUGCUUUAGUACGGAACGAAACGGCUCUGGUUAAUACCCGGGGCUAAUGACGGUACCGUAAGAAUAAGCACCGGCUAACUACGUG
rnacentral:rRNA from 1 species